AGGCCUUUGUGGAUUUCUUUUCAAGAGGUCUGCACACAGAAUACCAGUCAAAGGGAAUCAUUGUUCAGGUAUCGUUUAAGGCAAAUAGCAAAAAGCAAAUCAUUUUAGUUUGCAAAUUUGCCCACAUCCAGAUUUGCUCACGUGAAUUCAGCUGAAACUCGAAGUUUUAUAAAUAUGCGAAUGCUAUAUGCAUGCUGAGUCUGUUGAUAUAAAUUCAUACCAACCACAUUUAUCUUUACUAAAUUUGGUUGAAAUUCAGUUAUUUUUAUUUAAAAUUGUUGCUAAGUGAAUAAAAGUUUAGUUGAUAUUUUUUUUAUUUUUUGUCACAAUACUAGUAGACAGUGGAGGAAAGAAAGUACAUAGAAACCAGGGAGCUAAUACCACUGUGCUGUGACGUACAAAUAAAUUUGAAGGUCAAAGGAAAAAACUAAAAGUGGGGUAAAGAAAAAGGUCCCCACUUACCCCUUUGGGACUCAGGGUGCCAGGCAAGGAACUCCAAAUCCAUAUGACGUAAUGGGGUCCUUAGACAUAGGAGUCAUGUCAUGUAGAGGUACAUUUUUUGGGCACCUCUAGUUUGAAUAUAGGUAUGUUUUUGUAUUUGAAUAUAGUGUUGGCGUUUGAAUGCAGUUGUGUGUUUGUAUGUACUCUUGCUAUUUAAAUGCAUGGGUGUAUUUGUGUGCCGUGUUGGCGUUUGUACAGGUGAUACUUGAAGAAUUAGAAUAUAGUGCAAAAGUUCAUUUAUUUCAGUAAUGCAACGUAAAAUGGGAAACUAUUAUAUGAGAUAGACGCAUUACACGCAAAGCAAGAUAGUUCAAGCUGGGAUUUGUCAUAAGUGUGAUAAAUAUGGCUUACACUUUAUGAAACCUGUACACAAACAAAAAGAAGUCAUAUUUUACAUAUUUUUAGCCACCCACCUAUUUUCAUACCUUCUUGGUGCAGAAUGGUGGCUUCACUGGGGUCAAGUCCUAAGAUGGUACAGGCUCCCACCCUCAACACUAGCCCAUCCUCCAUCCCUUCCCCAUGCGGCUUUCUGUAAGCUGAGAGAACGUAACCUGAAUUUACUUCCUCCAAACACCAUGACCGAGCUGACGAUCUGACAGGAGCCCAGUAACACUGAUAAAGGGCCAUAGCACUUAGUCCAGGACCCUGUUCAGAGAUACCCAUCAGGUGGCCACCUGAUGACCCCAACUUGUGGGUUCAUUCAAGCUGUUAAAGGAACACAACACCCUUAAAGGGACACUAUAGUCACCAGAACAACUACAUCUUAAUGUAGUUGUUCUGGUGAGUAUAAUCAUUCCCUUCAGGCAUUUUCAUGCAAACACUGCCUUUUCAGAGAAAAGCAGUGUUUACAUUGCCCCCUAGGGACACCUCCAAGUGGCCACUCCCAGAUGGCCGUUCAGAGCAUGGAGACGCUGAAUUUACCUCAAAGAGAUGCAUUAAUUCAAUGCAUCUCUAUGAGGAGAUGCUGAUUGGCCAAAAUAGUGUUUGGCCCCGCCCCAUCACACCUCCUUGCCAAUUUCAGCCAAUCUUGCGCAGGACUUGUUUAGGGCUGGAAAUAAGGUGAGCUUUAACCCCUUUUAGAGGGUGUAAGGAGGGGGCAGGGGGCAGGGGGCAGGGGGGAGGAGAGCCACCAAAAUGUGGUGGUUUAAAUACUAUAGGGUCAGGAAUACCCUAUAGUGUUCCUUUAAUGUAUCCAUGAUCAGAGAUUUGGGUGGCUCCUAGAUUUGUGGGUUAAGUGCAGUCGCACCAGUUUCACCACCAGUAGUAAUGCUGUGGCUAGUAGAACAGGUUGGUAGGCUUUGAUUCAUAUAUGAAGCAGCAAACUGACAUAUGUUCAUAUCUUCCAACACCUAAUUACUGUUCUUCUCUUCCAGUGUGUGAUGCCAUUAUAUGUUUCAACAGCAAUGACUUCUCAUAUGAAAACAGACUUUUUUGUUAAGUCUGCUGAUGACUUUGCCCGGGAGGCUCUAAACACUGUGGGUUACACAAACAGAACCAGCGGCUGUCUCGCUCACUCCCUUCAGGUAUAUAUUUUGUAAUUCUUUAGGAACUCAGUGUCUCUGCUGGAGCUGUUGCCGAUACCAAUACAAAGGAAAGUUUACUUUAGGAAAUGUAAGACAAAAAGUUAUGUUUUGUAUAGAUGGUUUUGGGAAGGAAGCAGUUGUUUAACUAGAGACAGAAGAGAUACAAUCCAGGAGAAAGAUCAGGUAAGCACUAUCAGUAAACAUGUUUUUCAGGAUAAAAAAAAAGGAAUAUAUUAGAUGGCCUGUAAAGAGCAGUGUAAAAUAAGAACAGAAACGGGGGCCAAGAACAGAACCUUGGGGUAAUCCAACAGAAGGCAACAAAAAAGAUAAAAAAGUGGUGGGAGGGAAAAAAUAGACAAUCAGAAAACAGCACAUACAAAAUGUUUAAAGGAGCACUACACUGCCAGGAAACAAACUUGUUUUCCAGGCACUAUAUAGUCCUUAGCCCCCCUCAGGGUCCCCCCUCCAGCUGGGCUGAAGAGGUUAAAACCUUACCUUAAUGCAGCACCGGGCUCCCUCGGCGCUGGUGGCCUCUCCUCCGACGUCAGCUCCCGAGUGGAGCCGAACGCGCAUGCGCGACCAGAGCCACACGCACAUUCAAACCGCCCAUAGGAAAGCAUUACUCAAAGCUUUCCUAUGGAUGUUCUGCGUGCUCAAUGCAAUUUUCACAUUGAACGUCGGGUAAGCGCCUCUAGCGGCUAUCAGGAAGGCAGCCACUAGAGGCUGGAUUAACCCUGCAAUGUAAACAUAGCAGUUUCUCUGAACCUGCUAUGUUUACAUCUGAAGGGUUAAAACCUGAAGCUGAAGUGGUCUAGGUGACUAUAGUGGCCCUUUAAUGUUACGAUGGAGGUGGUCCCCUAUAUCAAAAGCUGCAGACAUUAUAAAUAUUGUUUGUAUUCAGUACUGUUUGUAUUUGGCUUGCAAAUAAUAUCAUUAACUCAAUAACUGCUUUAGUUAAAGGCAUUUUAGUCAACUCCCGAGAGUGGAAUAAAAAAACAAUCUUAGUGGGAGGUAAGACAUUCACGUCAAUGAUUAAAACUAGCUUGUCUUUAUUGAUAUGACAAUAUAGUAGCAAAAUUAAUCCUGAUGUCUAAAGACAAUGUGGUAGUAUCACCUUCUAGAAGAUGGGUUACUACCGCCAUUCCCAGUGAAUACAGCACCAAAGUGAUAAAACAAUCCUGCACGAAGUACCGCUGUCUCACCCAAACACUAAUCGAGACUUAGUGAAGGGUGAAGAAAAACUAAUUUAUUAGGACAAAGCGCAAGCCUUUAUACACAGACCCCAGCAUGGGUUCUAUUGAAAAAGACACAAGCCCACCCAGUUGCCUCUGUAAUAUACAGGAGCACUCUCACAUGCCAUACAUCCCCUGAAGGUCUCUCGGGAGCGCCCAUUCUGUCCAAAAAAGGGCCCGGAUCAGAUAUGGCUAGCCAUGCUUACAUGGAAGUCCAAAGUUCAGCGGGACGCAACAAGCUGGGUAGAGAUCCCUGGUUACCUAAAAACACAGCACUUUCCGUGAGUACAUGGACUCCCCCAAGUUCUUGGUGUUGUUGGAUGACUCAUCACCCCCUCUGUUAACCCUCCAAAAAGUGCCUUGAUUGCUCGUCCUGGGACGGAGAGCACUCUGAUUGAAGUUUCAGCGGACUGCGGAGGCUCGGCAAUCCGCUUUAGAGUUCCAGAGGAGUCCAGAGUUACUCCCGGUCAGGCUCACAGUGUCUCAGUGGCUCCCUCGCUGGGGAAGGAUGACUCUUGGGCCGGGAACAAGGGGUGUUGGGCUGGGAGACACGGGUUGGAGGGUCACUCUAUAGUGAUAACAUUUUAUAGAGAGGGUGUGAGUUGGGGAAACAUGUACUUGGGUUCGAUGGUCCGUCACAGAGAAAUCCUAAAACUCACAUCCAGUCAAAUGCCUCAAACUCCUCUGAAAGAUAUGAGAUCCUACAGAAGCAAAAUAUCACCAAACAUACUGUUAAAACAAAGUGUUUUUCAGAGUAAAAAAAAAAACAAUAUGUGUUUUACUGUCACAGUGAGUCACCAGUUAAAUCUUGCAUGCAUUUCCCUUGUAAAGAAAAUAAUGAUAGGAAACUGUCUCCUCGCGGAAUGUAUCAAUAUGGAAGACGUGCGAUAUACAUGGUAUAGACAUCAGUCAGUAAUGAAGAAUUUUCAAAAUAUUAACUAUGACAAAAUUCCAUUAAUGACAAAAUUCUAUUAUAUUAUUACAUUAAUUACUAUUGGUCCUUUAAAAUUUUGUGUGGAAUUGCAUUUUCAUUUUUAAACUCUCAGAGAGAAUUUCUGAUCAAAAAAAUCUUCUAAGUGUAUGUAAAGUCAGUAGUCAACCAGAACUUGCCAUUUUUACAGGUGGACUAAUUACCUCCCAAUAUUUGCAAAAAUGAAUGAAUGCUUAAGCUACAUGCAGAUUGCCUUGAGCACAUAAAAAUUCAGGAUUGUUAGGCUUUUAUUAUUAAGUUCAAUUUAAAAAAUGGUUUCAAAUUAUAUUUAAAAAACUAAUUUUUUCUUUUGCAGGGUUUAUUUUCUGCACAGUUAGCUAGAAACAUUACCAUUAUUAGCAUUGCAGUGAAACAUUUCUUUUUGACUAUGUCAUAAUUAAUUUUGUUUUCUUUUUAAUUUAAUUUUAAUUUCCUUUUAUUUAAUAGAGCUACGCCAUAGAUUUACUACUUCCUAAAUCUGUGUUUUCAAUGAAAAUUGUGACAGAUCUCGUUGAGAAUACAAUGACCAAGAAUAAGAAUAAGGAAAAAUAAACAACAUUGAUG